AGGGCACCACCAGGAGUGGAGCCUGCGGCUUAAUUUGACUCAACACGGGAAAACUCACCCGGCCCGGACACUGGAAGGAUUGACAGAUUGAGAGCUCUUUCUUGAUUCAGUGGGUGGUGGUGCAUGGCCGUUCUUAGUUGGUGGAGUGAUUUGUCUGGUUAAUUCCGAUAACGAACGAGACUCUAGCCUACUAAAUAGAUCGUCGGCUUACAAACGCCGGCGAGACUUCUUAGAGGGACAGGCGGUGAUUCAACCGCACGAAACAGAGCAAUAACAGGUCUGUGAUGCCCUUAGAUGUCCGGGGCCGCACGCGCGCUACACUGAAGUGAUCAGCGUGCUUUUUCAACCUACUCUGUCAAGAGUGGGGAACCCAAUGAACCUUCUUCGUGAUUGGGAUAGGGGAUUGUAAUUGUUCCCCUUGAACGAGGAAUUCCCAGUAAGCGCGAGUCAUAAGCUCGCGUUGAUUACGUCCCUGCCCUUUGUACACACCGCCCGUCGCUACUACCGAUUGAAUGUUUA
rnacentral:rRNA from 1 species